GCAGCAGGGAUAGCUGAACGUUUUGAUAUAAGAUUUGUGUAGGUGGGCCUGAAAAUAAGGGAGUGGUGGCAGUUUAGAAAUCAUGUCCUGAUUUUUCAGCUUUUGCCAGCUCCCACUCUAGCUUUGCCAUUCAUUCCUAUGGGACAAAUUUCGCCACAAGAACGCCGAUAUUCCGUGAACCAUUCGGCGAAACGUUCCACAAAGUAAUAGCAAUCCGAUCGGGAACAAUCUGCACGUUUUGGUAAAUUUUUGUCUAUGUAGUGUAAAAACUGUGGGAGGAGUUAGGGUGGCAAAUUUGGCUAUAAUAAUAAUAAGAAUAAUAUAUAUGUGAGAUAACAAUAAGUGGUCUUGCUAUGCAAGAACACUUAAUGAUAUAUGUAGAAAACAUGAAGAGACCUACCAUUGAAAGAAAUGUGUUUUUAGGUAAUGAAUGUAUACAAUUCAUUGUAAACUAUAAAAUGACUGCUUGAAUAGACCUUUUACAGAUUGGCACACUGUAAUGUAUAGUGCCAUAAUGGACAUCUUAAGUACUGGCAAAAUGCAGAAGUUCUUUCUGUCUGAACCGGAAAGACGUCUGGACCGGAAGUUGUCAUGACGCCGGAACCAGAAAUGACAUCAGACGCUAUGGAACACGAACCGGAAGUGGUUUUGAAAGCGGGUCAGGGCAGUGGAUGCAGCCCUGAUACCGGAAGUGACAGGAAAAUGGGCACGAAUUCCAAAAAAGGUGCCAAGAAAACGGACAUAUUUAAAGGAGUAUGAAGGAGGAAGGAAUUUAGACUUUUGAUAAAGGCGCAGGCCAAAACGCGUCAAGUCUUCUUUAUUGUUUUGCACAGUGGACUUUUAAUAAUUUUUUAUAUACCGAGAGUUGUUUGUUUGUUUUAAACCCCCCUUUUUUAAUAUUGUGUCCAAUAAAUUAUUUCAAUUUCCUUGCAUCCUGGAAUAUUUGAAUACCAAAGAAGGACUACAGAGGGGAAGCAGCCUGGUGUGAGGAGACCACGUGCUACAUUAUUUAUGGCUGUAGUUUGAGCCAGCUUAUAUGAAAUGGCUCAAAAACAUGUGAGUGGAAACUUUCACAAGUUCUAUUUUAAUUUGAUCUAAAUGGUAC